GGGCUGCAGUAUUUUGACUGUACAAAGGUAGCAUAAUCAAUAGUUUYUUAAUUGGUGACUUGUAUGAAAGAUUGGAUGAGAUAUAUACUGUCUYUGAUUAAUUUAUAGAAAUUAAUUUUUUAGUGAAAAAGCUAAAAUAAUUUUAAAAGACGAGAAGACCCUAUAGAGUUUAAUAAUUUAUUUAAUUAUUAAUAAUAUAUAAUUUUUAAAAUUAAAAUUAAAUGGAUUAUUUUAUUGGGGUGAUAGGAAAAUUAAAUUAACUUUUUUUAAUUAUUUACAUUAAUUUAUGAUUAAAUGAUCCAUUUAUAAUGAUUAAAAGAAAAAAUUACCUUAGGGAUAACAGCGUAAUUUUUUUUUUUAGUUCAAAUAGGARAAAAAGUUUGCGACCUCGAUGUUGGAUUAA
rnacentral:rRNA from 1 species